AUUUAUCUAGAUAUUAUUUUUGAUAGCAGUUCUUUCUUUUAUCAGCUUUCGUUAUAAGAGAGAAAUAAGUGCUAAAGAAAUAGUGUGCUUUCAUUAUAAGAGAGAAAUAGUGUGCUAAACAUGACAGAAAAAACUAGUAAAACACGACAAGGCAGAGCUAAUCGCCAACAAAUUGAGG